rnacentral:rRNA from 1 species
AUUGAACGCUGGCGGCAGGCCUAACACAUGCAAGUCGAGCGGUAGAGAGGUGCUUGCACCUCUUGAGAGCGGCGGACGGGUGAGUAAUGCCUAGGAAUCUGCCUGGUAGUGGGGGAUAACGCUCGGAAACGGACGCUAAUACCGCAUACGUCCUACGGGAGAAAGCAGGGGACCUUCGGGCCUUGCGCUAUCAGAUGAGCCUAGGUCGGAUUAGCUAGUUGGUGAGGUAAUGGCUCACCAAGGCGACGAUCCGUAACUGGUCUGAGAGGAUGAUCAGUCACACUGGAACUGAGACACGGUCCAGACUCCUACGGGAGGCAGCAGUGGGGAAUAUUGGACAAUGGGCGAAAGCCUGGUCCAGCCAUGCCGCGUGUGUGAAGAAGGUCUUCGGAUUGUAAAGCACUUUAAGUUGGGAGGAAGGGUCGUUACCUAAUACGUGACGAUUUUGACGUUACCGACAGAAUAAGCACCGGCUAACUCUGUGCCAGCAGCCGCGGUAAGAC